AACAGUCAAACUGUAUCCUAUCCUGAUAUGACAGAAAACAGCCUGCAGUGUUUUAGCUGCUCUGGUACCGUCUGUAAUCAGACAGUUCAGUGUGUGGGAGCAGAGGACCGCUGCUUUCAUGAGUCACAUCACAACAAAACCUUUGUGGCCCAUGGCUGUAUGUCUGCAAACAUGUGUGAUGUUUGCAACCUGAUGGCGAUUGAUAGAGCUUUGUCUGGUGUUAGGCCUGACUUCACCGAUGAGCCUGACAUCACCAAUGCAAUCGAAUGUUGUGCAUCGAGCUUCUGUAACUCGGCAGUGUGACGGUCACACUGAGUGUUGUUCCUGUGCU